AGUGGCGAACGGGUGAGUAACACGUGACCAACCUGCCUCUUACAUUGGGACAACCAAAAGAAAUUCUGGCUAAUACCAAAUACUCCGCACAUAUCACAUGAUGUAUGUGGGAAAGCUUUUGCGGUAAGAGAUGGGGUCGCGGCCCAUUAGGUAGACGGCGGGGUAGAAGCCCACCGUGCCGAUGAUGGGUAGCCGGGUUGAGAGACCGACCGGCCACAUUGGUACUGAGAUACGGCCCAGACUCCUACGGGAGGCAGCAGGC
rnacentral:rRNA from 1 species